rnacentral:misc_RNA from 1 species
GGGUAUUCAUUGGCAUGGCCGAGGCUAGUUUAACCAGUCUUGACCCACGCUUGGAUCUUCAAUGAAUGGCCAAGACUAGGUUAGCCAGUGUUGGCCCAAGGUUGGCUGAUCAUUGGCAUGGCCGAGGCUGGGUUAACCAGUCUUGGCCCACGCUUGGAUCUCCAAUGAAUGGCCAAGGCUGGGUUAGCCAGUGUUGGCCCAAGGUUGGCUGAUUAUUGGCAUGGCCGAGGCUGGGUUAAACAGUCUCGGCCCACGCUUGGAUCUCCAAUGAAUGGCCAAGGCUGGGUUAGCCAGUGUUGGCCCAAGGUUGGCUGAUUAUUGGCAUGGCCGAGGCUGGGUUAAACAGUCUCGGCCCACGCUUGGAUCUCCAAUGAAUGGCCAAGGCUGGGUUAGCCAGUCUUGGUUUAAGGUUGGGUGAUCAUUGGCAUGGCCGAGGGUGGGUUAACCAGUCUUGGCCCACGCUUGGAUCUCCAAUGAAUGGCCAAGGCUGGGUUAGCCAGUCUUGGCUCAAGGAUGGGUGAUCAUUGGCAUGGCCGAGGGUGGGUUAACCAGUCUUGGCCCACGCUUGGAUCUCCAAUGAAUGGCCAAGGCUGGGUAACCCAGUCUUGGCCCAAGGAUGGGUGAUCAUUGGCAUGGCCGAGGGUGGGUUAUCCAGUCUUGGCCCACGCUUGGAUCUCCAAUGAAUGGC